UAGAGGAAGUAAAAGUCGUAACAAGGUCUCCGUUGGUGAACCAGCGGAGGGAUCAUUACCGAGUUUACAACUCCCAAACCCAAUGUGAACGUUACCAAACUGUUGCCUCGGCGGGGUCACGCCCCGGGUGCGUCGCAGCCCCGGAACCAGGCGCCCGCCGGAGGAACCAACCAAACUCUUUCUGUAGUCCCCUCGCGGACGUAUUUCUUACAGCUCUGAGCAAAAAUUCAAAAUGAAUCAAAACUUUCAACAACGGAUCUCUUGGUUCUGGCAUCGAUGAAGAACGCAGCGAAAUGCGAUAAGUAAUGUGAAUUGCAGAAUUCAGUGAAUCAUCGAAUCUUUGAACGCACAUUGCGCCCGCCAGUAUUCUGGCGGGCAUGCCUGUCCGAGCGUCAUUUCAACCCUCGAACCCCUCCGGGGGAUCGGCGUUGGGGAUCGGGACCCCUCACACGGGUGCCGGCCCCGAAAUACAGUGGCGGUCUCGCCGCAGCCUCUCCUGCGCAGUAGUUUGCACAACUCGCACCGGGAGCGCGGCGCGUCCACGUCCGUAAAACACCCAACUUUCUGAAAUGUUGACCUCGGAUCAGGUAGGAAUACCCGCUGAACUUAAGCAUAUCAAUA
rnacentral:rRNA from 1 species